GAUGAACGCUGGCGGCGUGCCUAAUACAUGCAAGUCGAGCGAACGGACGAGAAGCUUGCUUCUCUGAUGUUAGCGGCGGACGGGUGAGUAACACGUGGAUAACCUACCUAUAAGACUGGGAUAACUUCGGGAAACCGGAGCUAAUACCGGAUGAUAUUUUGAACCGCAUGGUUCAAAAGUGAAAGACGGUCUUGCUGUCACUUAUAGAUGGAUCCGCGCUGCAUUAGCUAGUUGGUAAGGUAACGGCUUACCAAGGCAACGAUGCAUAGCCGACCUGAGAGGGUGAUCGGCCACACUGGAACUGAGACACGGUCCAGACUCCUACGGGAGGCAGCAGUAGGGAAUCUUCCGCAAUGGGUGAGAGCCUGACGGAGCAACGCCGCGUGAGUGAUGAAGGUCCUCGGAUCGUAAAACUCUGUUAUUAGGGAAGAACAUAUGUGUAAGUAACUGUGCACAUCUUGACGGUACCUAAUCAGAAAGCCACGGCUAACUACGUG
rnacentral:rRNA from 1 species